rnacentral:lncRNA from 1 species
CCCUUUCCACGCCUGCGAGGUUGUAUCUAUGCUUCCACGGAGGUUGUCACGCGCUUUUGCCAACUAUUGUCCGGUUUGUCCUAACCGAAGCCUACUCCUUGCACACCUGUCCGGCCUGAUUCUCCCGCGGAACCCUGCUUGCCCACCUUGACGCCUUGCCUGAGCUAUCCUUGAGCACCGUUUGGGUUCUCUUCCCUGUGGCGGGUUUUGAGAGUACCCGACCCCCUCCUUUUGUCCGCCUUUCUGCGAUAGGGGUUGAGUGUGCUUCCUCG